AUUGAACGCUGGCGGCAUGCUUUACACAUGCAAGUCGAACGGUAACAGGGACUUCGGUCUGCUGACGAGUGGCGAACGGGUGAGUAACAUAUCGGAACGUGCCCAGUAAUGGGGGAUAGCUCGGCGAAAGCCGGAUUAAUACCGCAUACGCCCUGAGGGGGAAAGUGGGGGAUCUUCGGACCUCACGUUAUUGGAGCGGCCGAUAUCGGAUUAGCUAGUUGGUGGGGUAAAGGCCUACCAAGGCGACGAUCCGUAGCUGGUCUGAGAGGAUGAUCAGCCACACUGGGACUGAGACACGGCCCAGACUCCUACGGGAGGCAGCAGUGGGGAAUUUUGGACAAUGGGCGAAAGCCUGAUCCAGCCAUGCCGCGUGAGUGAAGACGGCCUUAGGGUUGUAAAACUCUUUCGCCAGGGAAGAUAAUGACGGUACCUGGUAAAGAAGUCCCGGCUAACUCCGUG
rnacentral:rRNA from 1 species